rnacentral:rRNA from 1 species
AACGAACGCUGGCGGCAGGCCUAACACAUGCAAGUCGAACGCCGUAGCAAUACGGAGUGGCAGACGGGUGAGUAACACGUGGGAACGUACCCUUCGGUUCGGGAGUAACUCAGGGAAACUUGAGCUAAUACCGGAUACGUCCGAGAGGAGAAAGAAUUUAUUGCCGAGGGAUCGGCCCGCGUCUGAUUAGCUUGUUGGUGAGGUAACGGCUCACCAAGGCGACGAUCAGUAGCUGGUCNGAGAGGAUGAUCAGCCACAUUGGGACUGAGACACGGCCCAAACUCCUACGGGA